rnacentral:rRNA from 1 species
GAUAACAUUUGAGUGAGUGGCGGACGGGUGAGUAACACGUGGGUAACCUGCCCUAAAGUGGGGGAUAACAUUUGGAAACAGAUGCUAAUACCGCAUAAAACCUAGCACCGCAUGGUGCAAGGUUGAAAGAUGGUUUCGGCUAUCACUUUAGGAUGGACCCGCGGUGCAUUAGUUAGUUGGUGAGGUAAAGGCUCACCAAGACCGUGAUGCAUAGCCGACCUGAGAGGGUAAUCGGCCACACUGGGACUGAGACACGGCCCAGACUCCUACGGGAGGCAGCAGUAGGGAAUCUUCCACAAUGGACGAAAGUCUGAUGGAGCAACGCCGCGUGAGUGAAGAAGGUUUUCGGAUCGUAAAACUCUGUUGUUGGAAAAGAACGUAUUUGAUAGUAACUGAUCAGGUAGUGACGGUAUCCAACCAGAAAGCCACGGCUAACUACGUGCCAGCAGCCGCGGUAAUACGUAGGUGGCAAGCGUUGUCCGGAUUUAUUGGGCGUAAAGCGAGCGCAGGCGGUUUCUUAAGUCUGAUGUGAAAGCCUUCGGCUCAACCGAAGAAGUGCAUCGGAAACUGGGGAACUUGAGUGCAGAAGAGGACAGUGGAACUCCAUGUGUAGCGGUGAAAUGCGUAGAUAUAUGGAAGAACACCAGUGGCGAAGGCGGCUGUCUGGUCUGUAACUGACGCUGAGGCUCGAAAGCAUGGGUAGCAAACAGGAUUAGAUACCCUGGUAGUCCAUGCCGUAAACGAUGAGUGCUAGGUGUUGGAGGGUUUCCGCCCUUCAGUGCCGCAGCUAACGCAUUAAGCACUCCGCCUGGGGAGUACGACCGCAAGGUUGAAACUCAAAGGAAUUGACGGGGGCCCGCACAAGCGGUGGAGCAUGUGGUUUAAUUCGAAGCAACGCGAAGAACCUUACCAGGUCUUGACAUCCUUUGACCACUCUAGAGAUAGAGCUUUCCCUUCGGGGACAAAGUGACAGGUGGUGCAUGGUUGUCGUCAGCUCGUGUCGGGAGAUGUUGGGUUAAGUCCCGCAACGAGCGCCACCCUUAUUACUAGUUGCCAGCAUUUAGUUGGGCACUCUAGUGAGACUGCCCGAGAACAAACCGGA